rnacentral:rRNA from 1 species
CCCUUUNNNNNNCCUUGUACGAUUCGCCUUGAGUUGAUCAUGGCUCGAACGAACGUUGGCGGCGUGGAUUAGGCAUGCAAGUCGGGGGAAUCCGCCGCAAGGCGGGGAACCGGCGUAAGGGGCAGUAAUGCGUGGGUACCUACCCUAGGGUUCGGGAUAGCCAUCAGAGAUGGUGGGUAAUACCGGAUGAUGUCGUGAGACCAAAGAUUUAUCGCCCCGGGAGGGGCCCACGUGAUAUUAGCUUGUUGGUGAGGUAACGGCUCACCAAGGCGAAGAUGUCUAGCGGGUGUGAGAGCACGACCCGCGCCACUCGCACUGAGACACUGGCGAGACACCUACGGGUGGCUGCAGUCGAGGAUCUUCGGCAAUGGGCGCAAGCCUGACCGAGCGACGCCGCGUGAGCGAUGAAGGCCUUCGGGUUGUAAAGCUCCUUAGUGGGGGAGAAAAGCCCGCAAGGGUGUGAUCUAUCCCAAAAAUAAGCACGGGCUAAGUUCGUGCCAGCAGCCGCGGUAAGACGAACCGUGCGAACGUUGUUCGGAAUCACUGGGCUUAAAGGGCGCGUAGGCGGGCUGUCAAGUCUGGGGUGAAAUGCCGCGGCUCAACCGUGGAACUGCCUCAGAUACUGACGGCCUCGAGGGAGGUAGGGGCGUGCGGAACUGUAGGUGGAGCGGUGAAAUGCGUUGAUAUCUACAGGAACUCCGGUGGCGAAAGCGGCGCGCUGGACCUCUUCUGACGCUGAGGCGCGAAAGCUAGGGGAGCAAACGGGAUUAGAUACCCCGGUA